rnacentral:rRNA from 1 species
UACGGGGGGGGGCAAGCGUUGUUCGGAAUUACUGGGCGUAAAGGGCUCGUAGGUGGCCAACUAAGUCAGACGUGAAAUCCCCUCGGCUUAACUGGGGGAACUGCGUCUGAUACUGGAUGGCUUGAGUUCGGGAGAGGGAUGCGGAAUUCCAGGUGUAGCGGUGAAAUGCGUAGAUAUCUGGAGGAACACCGGUGGCGAAGGCGGCAUCCUGGACCGACACUGACACUGAGGAGCGAAAGCCAGGGGAGCAAACGGG